rnacentral:lncRNA from 1 species
UUUCAGCGUGUUAUACGUAUAAAAACAGUGGUGUUAGGUUAGUAGUUGAAAUUCAGACUUUAUUUUAGUGUGUGAACUUUUUUGUCUAAAAUUCCGCGUGUCGAACAAUGUUUUCAGCGGCCCAUGACCCGUGGGAACUACACCCUUAGCGGCGGAGUUUCGUAAAAUCCGUUCUCAGUAGCUGGGUAAGUCUUGCUGGUGGAAAAUUGGAGUGUACGUUUGAUUAUGACUACUAUCAAAAGACCCCUAAGACAACCCACUGACCAAGAAAAGGGUUUGCAAUAUCCAAUUCACUGAUGAAGACAGAAACCGCUAUAACCGGUUAGAUUCAGUAGCUAUUCCUUCCCUUCCUACCAGGUUCUUCUGCAAGUCAAACAGCGUCGAAGCGACCCUUAACACAAUAUUUCCAUCAAGAUACCACUACCAGAAGAUGCCAGGUGUACAAACUCAACUACCUCGAAGCAAUUGUUGAUGAAGCAUAAUUAUUCUAUAAUUAGCAAGCCAAGAAUAAUGACAGUCAAAGGUGCAUUCAAAACUAAUCGAACACAUUAUGUUCGACCACUGUGCACCAAGAUUAAGCAUCUUCGGCCCGAGAUAUCGUGUCUUCUCAAAAGAGGUCGAAUAUUUAAAGAAACCUGGAUGCGAGAAGCCGAAAAUCGAUCUCAGUGGCGUGCACUUGGAGAGGCCUAUGUCCAGCAGUGGACUGCAAUAGGCUGAUGAUGAUGAUGAUUUAAAGAAAGACUACGGAAUGCUGCAACACUCUUUGAGAAGGCAUCAUUCCUGCACGUUACUCAAAAUUUGAUAAAACCGGCCCAAAUCUUCAAUUACAAACUCCAAAGAAAGAUAAAGGACGAAGGUUUAGUUUAGAAGAAAAGGUAUUGGCAUUGUCUCUGCACAAAAAAAGUCCUGUCAAUGGACUUUUACAUAAAUAUUUUCCUUUACCUUCGUCAAAAACCAUGACACGGUUACUCAGCAACAUAAAGAUAACCCCUGGAAUUACAAAAUAAUUUUUGGAAAGUUAAAAAAACUGUACAAUGCUGUGCGUUGUACGGUUGUGAACCUUGGACGCUAACUAAGCAGGAUAUAAGCAGACUGGAGGCUUUUGAGAUGUGGUGCUGGAGGAGGAUGGAGAGGCUGGACGGAAAGAGUUACUAACGAGUAAGUACUUAACAGAAUAGGAACUAAGAGACAACUACUGCAAAAUAUAGAGAAUAGGAGAGGAAAAAUGACACGUUAUACGUCACGACGAUUUUAUCAAAAACAUUGUGGAAGGGAAGGUCGAAGGAAAGAGGAAGGGUCAUCCAAGGUAUAGCUACAUCAAGCAAAUUAAAGAAAAGGUGAAGGUUGUGACGUAUAAGGAAGUUCAGGAGUUGGCGCUAGAUAGUUGUAAAUGGAAGGAGCUGCACCGACAAGAGUUAGCCGAGAGAGAGAGCCGAAAUGGAAAGACAGCUUGCUACUAGAGCUCAAGAGGAAGCCAGUGUUCAGUUGCAAUGUCGCAUGCAGUGCCAGAUCAGACGCCUGAACGACAACUUUGAGCAGGCACAGCUUCGCAUUCUGGGACUUCAAACCCGGGUCCGGGCCCUCAGGAGAACUGUAGAUCUAGAAGGAGAGACGAACCACAGAAGUGCACCUGUAAAUCCUUCUUCGAUAACCCUUGAAACUAGAUUAAACUUAAAACUUACUUUUAAAUGUCUUGUCUGUAAGUGUCAGAAAUCAAUAUUAUGUACAUAGGUAUACUGUAAAUGCUCAAAAAUGUCGUGUGAAAUGUUGUAGAUUUUGAAAGGGACCGUGUACUGUUUGAAUGUUAUUAUCACAUCUGAGGAACUCCUCGAGCUGAUCUGAGCAGCAGCAUUGCUUUGUCUAGGUGGUAGUGAUAUUAUGCCCGUUGUGUCCCAAAUUGAAACGUUUCAUCGAAAUAAAGCAAACUGGAUUAAACUUA